GACGAACGCUGGCGGCGUGCCUAAUACAUGCAAGUCGAGCGGACCGAACAGGAGCUUGCUCUUGUUCGGUUAGCGGCGGACGGGUGAGUAACACGUGGGUAACCUGCCCGUAAGACCGGGAUAACUCCGGGAAACCGGAGCUAAUACCGGAUAACACCGAAGACCGCAUGGUCCUUGGUUGAAAGGCGGCUUCGGCUGCCACUUACGGAUGGGCCCGCUGCGCAUUAGCUAGUUGGUGGGGUAAAGGCCCACCAAGGCGACGAUGCGUAGCCGGGCCGAGAGGGGGAGCAGCCACACUGGGACUGAGACACGGGCCAGACUCCUAAGGGAGGCAGCAGUGGGGAAUAUUGGACAAUGGGCGCAAGGCUGAGCGAGCCAGACCGCGUGGGUGAAGAAGGCCUUCGGGUGGUAAAGCCCUUUUGUUGGGGAAGAAAAGCAGCAGGUUAAAAACGGGGGGGCGGGGCGGGACCCAAAGAAGAAAAACCCGCUAACAUCGUG
rnacentral:rRNA from 1 species